GUUCUUGGCUAGAUGCAUGAAUCACCUUGUCAGGUUCUCUGGACAGUCCUUUGCAGGAGGUUCGCUUGCUGCAAGCCAGGAAAUGUGUAGCUCUCCAGGCACUCUCCCCGCCCCGCGGCUGUUUCUGGACAGGCUGUCAGCUCAUCAAGGGGACACGGCCUUGCUGUCAUGUUUAGUCCCUUGUGGCAUCCCAGUGACCCGCAUUGUCUUCUGCAAAGAUGGGAAGGAAAUUUCUGUCCAGCCCAAGGGAGGAAACACACUCGUCUAUGACUCACCCUACACAGUGUCCAGGGAGAGUGCAGGGGCCUUUUCCUGCCGCUAACAA